CAGGGGGAGGCUGAGCCACUGGAAAAAUCUACUGAGGAACAAUAUACAUAUCGCUAUAAAAUUUUCCAGAGCCCCAUGGCCCACCCGCACCUGUGCGGGGUCCAGUUCCUGCUGUGAACCUCUGGCUUCCACAUCAUCCCAACCCCGAUGCCUGAGGGAUGCAGCUGUGGGGACUGCAAGUAGUUCCAGUCCCCUCCCUCCCUCCACCAAGACUUGUUCCUAAUGUGGUCGGCCAUCUGUCCAGGGUCCUGUGGCCAUGUGCCCUGCAAAGGCAGCAUCUAUUACCUACUAAGAGAGAGGUAAAGAAGUGGAGAUCAGGGGCAGAUAGCGGAGCAGCCUGUUUCCACCCCACCUCUAGAAGUGCCCGGGGCCAUCAACCCUGGAGUUUUCUGCAGAUCCUGUGGCAUACGUCCGGUUGGUUCCUGGCUUUGCCCACUUCCGGUUAGUAUCCCAUGCCUCGCAGAAGGAAGUCCUACCAUCCCCAACACUUCCUGGUUACAGCGAUGUGUGUCUGUUCCCUCCUCUUCCUGUUCGUCUGGAUUCAGAGCCUAAAAAAAUUCCUUUCCUGCGGUUUUAGUGGAGAUUCACGGGACAAAGAUCAGAGAUCUGUGCAACACCCCCUAUUCUUUAGGAGACAGAACAUCUCAGGUGAAAUAUCCUCAGAACACGCUUUUACUGCCA